GGACUUAGGCUAAAUUUAAACCAAGGGCCUUCAAAGCCCUAAAUAAGAGACACCUCUUAGCCCCUGA
rnacentral:tRNA from 1 species